UACGGAGGGAGCUAGCGUUGUUCGGAAUUACUGGGCGUAAAGCGCACGUAGGCGGCUUUGUAAGUUAGAGGUGAAAGCCCAGGGCUCAACCCUGGAAUUGCCUUUAAAACUGCAUCGCUAGAAUUGUGGAGAGGUAAGUGGAAUUCCGAGUGUAGAGGUGAAAUUCGUAGAUAUUCGGAAGAACACCAGUGGCGAAGGCGACUUACUGGACACAUAUUGACGCUGAGGUGCGAAAGCGUGGGGAGCAAACAGG
rnacentral:rRNA from 1 species